UGAACGCUGGCGGCGUGCUUAACACAUGCAAGUCGAACGAUGAAGCUGGAGCUUGCUCUGGUGGAUUAGUGGCGAACGGGUGAGUAACACGUGAGCAACCUGCCCCUGACUCUGGGAUAACAGCCGGAAACGGCUGCUAAUACCGGAUAUGCACCAUGAACGCAUGUUCUGUGGUGGGAAAGAUUUUUCGGUUGGGGAUGGGCUCGCGGCCUAUCAGCUUGUUGGUGAGGUAAUGGCUCACCAAGGCGUCGACGGGUAGCCGGCCUGAGAGGGUGACCGGCCACACUGGGACUGAGACACGGCCCAGACUCCUACGGGAGGCAGCAGUGGGGAAUAUUGCACAAUGGGCGAAAGCCUGAUGCAGCAACGCCGCGUGAGGGAUGACGGCCUUCGGGUUGUAAACCUCUUUUAGCAGGGAAGAAGCGAGAGUGACGGUACCUGCAGAAAAAGCGCCGGCUAACUAC
rnacentral:rRNA from 1 species